GCUAACUUAGCUCAAUUGGCAGAGCAAUCGAUUUGUAAUCGAUAGGUUGUAGGUUCGAUUCCUAUAGUUAGCACCA
rnacentral:tRNA from 1 species